UUGGGGUGCUCGAGUGGCGAACGGGUGAGUAACACGUGAGUAACCUGCCCUUGACUUUGGGAUAACUUCAGGGAACUGGGGCUAAUACCGGAUAGGAGCUCCUGCUGCAUGGUGGGGGUUGGAAAGUUUCGGCGGUUGGGGAUGGACUCGCGGCUUAUCAGCUUGUUGGUGGGGUAGUGGCUUACCAAGGCUUUGACGGGUAGCCGGCCUGAGAGGGUGACCGGCCACAUUGGGACUGAGAUACGGCCCAG
rnacentral:rRNA from 1 species